GAAAUGCGAUAGUAAUGUGAAUUGCAGAAUUCAGUGAAUCAUCGAAUCUUUGAACGCACCUUGCGCUCCUUGGUAUUCCUUGGAGCAUGCCUGUUUGAGUAUCAUGAAAUCUUCAAAGUAAAUCUUUUGUUAACUCAAUUGGUUUCUACUUUGGUAUUGGAGGUCUUUGCAGCUUCACACCUGCUCCUCUUUGUUCAUUAGCUGGAUCUCAGUGUUAUGCUUGGUUCCACUCGGCGUGAUAAGUUAUCUAUCGCUGAGGACACUGUAAAAGGUGGCCAAGGUAAAUGCAGAUGAACCGCUUCUAAUAGUCCAUUAACUUGGACAAUACUUUUAUGAUCUGAUCUCAAAUCAGGUAGGACUACCCGCUGAACUUAAGC
rnacentral:misc_RNA from 1 species